CAGGAUUCUUUGAAUAAGCUAGAGGUAAGCCCCAUGGUUUGCACUGAAACCUGAAACCCAGACUUUCUCCCAGGUGCUCUCACCCUUUGCAUCUGCCCAGUCAGAAAAGGAGAAGGCCCAGAAGGAACUCAGUCCUGGAGAAGUCAAAUGGUCAAAGCUCAGGAAGUAUUGAGCCCUCUGUUUUACAAAGGAUCAUCCCUCUCAGGAUUGCUUCAAUGGCAAGAAAAGGAAUGCAAUCCAAAUACCUGUCUUCCAACAGCACGUGUAAAACGUAACCUGCGCAUCCCACGGUGGUGAAGAGCCAAGCUGUCCGGAUUCAGAUUCUAGCUGUGGCAACGUCCUCGGCUAAGCCGGUGACUUCACGUCUCUGUGCCCACUUCCCCACUGGCCCACGGGGGAGAGGAUGGUACCUCCCUCAUAGGGUUGUUAGGAGAAUUAGGUUAAUAUACGUAAAGCACUUGGACCAGUGCCUAGCACAGAGUAAGUGCUUAAUAAGCAUUAGCGAUUAUUAUAAUAUAUCAAAAUAUUCAUUUCUCUUUUCUAAAAUGAGAACAACAGUAGGUGAGAGAAAAUCUCAGCAGGGAGAUGGUUCUACCCUGUAGGCAGCAUGGGGAUGCUAGGGUAUGAGGAGGAAAGGGGGUUACUAGUGCAGUCUAAUGUGGGGACACCUUUGGGGAGGGGUGCUGAGUGGAGGGUCACUAGCCUGCAACAAACCAAGCUUGGUACCACGGCUGUACAGGACUCCGUGAUACAUGCCAAUUGGUGUUUUCACUGGUUGACCAAAACUACCACUCCAGAUACAGGCAAUUACUGAAAAGAUCUUCCUCCCCAGCACAAAUGGUUUGUGUAAAAUAUUCCAGGUUAUUUAAAUGAGAGUUAAGAAAAAAACAGUUCUCCGUGUAAAAGCCCACACCUCCGUGGAGCCAGCUAGAGUCAGUUUCUGUUUUCUAAAUAAACUCAUUUGUAUCAUUUUUUUUAAGAUUCCAUAUAUAAUUGAUAUCAUAUGAUAUUUGUCUUGCUCUGACUUACUUCACCUAGUAUGAUGAUCUCUAGAUCCAUCCAUGACCUAGAAUCACUUUGCUGUACACCUGAAACUAACAC